UACGUAGGUGGCAAGCGUUGUCCGGAUUUAUUGGGUUUAACGGGUGCGUAGGUGGCCCCGUAAGUCAGUGGUGAAAUAUCUCAGCUUAACUGAGAGGGUGCCAUUGAUACUGCGGGGCUUGAGUACAGAUGAGGUAGGCGGAAUUGACGGUGUAGCGGUGAAAUGCAUAGAUAUCGUCGAGAACACCGAUAGCGAAGGCAGCUUACCAAGCUGUAACUGACACUGAGGCACGAAAGUGUGGGGAUCAAACAGG
rnacentral:rRNA from 1 species